rnacentral:rRNA from 1 species
UACGUAGGGUGCAAGCGUUAAUCGGAAUUACUGGGCGUAAAGCGUGCGCAGGCGGUUAUGUAAGACAGAUGUGAAAUGCCCGGGCUUAACCUGGGAACUGCAUUUGUGACUGCAUGGCUAGAGUUUGGCAGAGGGGGGUAGAAUUCCACGUGUAGGCAGUGAAAUGCGUAGAUAUGUGGAGGAACACCGAUGGCGCAAGGGCAGCCCCCUUGGGUCAAGA